AGAACAGAUGGCAACAAUAUUCAUGCUAGCAACACCAAUACUUGAUAAUUUUUGAUAAUUCAUGCAAAACAGAAAAUAAAAUCAUCUCUUCCCUUGUAUGAUAUUAGUAACAAUUGCAAUUGUACAAUUUUAGGGGCCUUUGAUUGCAACGGCUUUUACAAAUGGAUACCACUGAAACGUUACACAGGGUUGGUUGCCAUCUCACUUGGAGAGUAUAUCUGGAUGUCCAGGCAAGACAGGGCGAAGUUUCUGAAUGGUUCCAUGUUUAGGUGACACGUCUUCAGACUUUGACCAUUGCACCAUCAUCAGUAACCCACACAAACUGGAGGUGACACUCAAUGGAUAUGGGUUGUCCAAAAUCGGUAUCAUCUCAUGAACCUGCUGUACUAUAUAGAACAACAGCUUUUUAAAACAAAUGUGUAUAUAUAUAUAAUCCAUUUUUGUUCAUGUUAUUAUUUUUCUUGAUGUUUUUUUCCCCCUUUGAGGUCUAUUUUAAUCACUUUUUUGUAGUAUUUUGACAUAGGUUUAUAAUCAAAAUAGAUCUGCUACUCUGCGUAUUUAGGAAAACCCUAACCAUACUCUAUAUCUUAAAAGUUUCUUUGCUUUGCUUUUUAAUCCCUUUCUCUUUAUUUCUUUCUUUUUAUGUAAUUUUGUUGCUGAAAUGGUAACAUGAUUUUCAGUUUAUUGGUACCAAUUCUGAAGUUGAAAAGGCUUUUUCAGGUGGAAUUUAGCACAAGCUGAAUUUAGAAUUAGAGCAAGCGAGAAAAGUAAGUAGAAAUACUCUCUUUUAUGCUGGAUGGGAAAUAGGAGGCUGGCUCAGUAGCAGGAUCUCUAGCAGUUCUUUUUAUUAGUUAACCUAAUUAUAUCUAUUUUCGGCAAUAAAGUAAGGACUACAAAGUUUUUUGUGUCCUUUUUCUAUAAGUGCAUUUUUUUGUUGUUAAAAAAAAAGAGAGGCGAUAAGGUUUUUUGAAAUUGUGAAAUCUAAAAAAAAAUAGUAAUACUGUAAAUACAAUUCCAUUAACUUGCAUAUAAACUAUUAAAGCAGAGAAAUUGUAAUAUUUUUGUGAAUGGAGUCAGAUUAAGGCAGUUUCUGUACUGAACGGAAGACAAAGAUUAAAAUUUGGGGCACACAUCCCAACAGGAAUCUUCUCUUCUGCAAGACUUUUUAUAUGAAUGGGAAAUGCAGGAGGGGCGUUGAGGUCCCUCACUCAAUUCCCAUUGAUCUCGCCAGCCGCACGCACGCAGGGAACAUUUCCGCUGGUUUGUGCCCCAAUGUUUUUAAACUUGUGAGAUCGACUGCCAGAGCUGGCCCAUAGCAGUUAGAUCAACACUGUUUUAGCUUGCUCUGUAGAUGUUAGACCUUAUAACUGUACUAGCGUCAUACCAGCAUAUUAACUAGACCUUUGUGCACAGCUUUGAAAGUAACAGUCUAGUUACAUUUUUAAUUUAAAAAAUACAAAAGAAACCCUGCUUUUCCCAAGAUUGAAAAAGCUACAUUUUUAAUAUUUAAAAGGUAUUUAAAGUUUCAAGCACACUUUUUUUAACCAUUUAGAUCACCUGACUGUCCAUCCAUCUCCGUCGGCCCCCCGUGGCCUGCAGCCUUCUUGACGUCUUGGGAGCUCCCAGCUUUUGGGAGGGGCAGUUAAAGCAUGCAUCUUCUCACCUUUUUUUUUUCAACCCAUCCUUUUUUCCCAUUCUUUUCUAAUUCACAAAUUAGAAAAAAAAAAAAAGGCAAAGGUUUAUUUUAAACAAAUCGUUAUGAAUACCUCAGUGCUACAAGUUUGUCACCCUAGAGGCAAGAGAAGCUUAAUUUAUUGUAGAUGAAAACAGAUUUGAAAAAAAAAAUGUAUAAAAACCAUCAUUGCACUGUGACUGGUAGGGGAAAACUGACAAUUUCCGAUUUGCACAUGUUUAAUGUUUGGCUGUUAUAUAUAUGGUCCUCUGCUGGGGAGGAGACUUAUGAAGGAUAUUUUUUAAUUUAAUUUUUUUAAAUAUGGGUCAAAUAGGCUGGCAACAGCAACUCCAAGUACAACACAGUAGGUGAUAUUACAAGCAUAACUAUAGUGUGGAUAUAUUCUUUUUUUAAGCAUUAAUAUUGACAAGUUUUAUUAAUAUUUUUUUAAAUUGUUACGUUUAUAAAUUUGGUACUCUAGGUACAGCCAGAAUAAGACACUGAAUGAGACAUUUGUUAAGAGAAAAAAAAAGCUGCUGCACUCCUAUUUUUGUAAAAUUUUACUAACCAGUAGGCUAACAUAGAUGUUCAAUAGACAAGUUACAGCAAAGCAUCUUCGAUCACUCACGGAGGCACCACAAGGCGAACUGUAAGGAGGAGGGGAAGAAUCUUAUUCUCCCCACCACCACCGCCCUAAUUUUUAAAGUUAACAGCAAAAAUGAGGUGUUUUGCUGGAGGGGGACGGCUGUUAUAUGUUUUAAGUUUUUAUUUUAUUCUUCGAAAAAACAACCAGGUUUAAAACCCAGAAUGCUGGACGCUUUUUAAAGUUAUCUUGACUUGAUCAAGUAGUACAUUAAAAAAAACAAAAAAGUAAUAAAAAUGAAAUGAAAUAAAUAGAAGGAAUUAAUCACAAACUAAUUCCCUGAGACUCAAGUGUCUUUUUACAAAAAAAUAUAUAUAAAAAAAUUAAAAAGAGCGAGAAAAAAAAAAGUCAGGGAUUUUUUUUAAUUAUUAUUACAUUUUAAUCAAGAUAGACGCCAUCCAUGUGCAGGAGUUCCUGAGGGUGGAUUUCUUUUUAAAUGAUGGAGCUCUCUUGGAUUCUCACAGAGCUUCCUUGGUGGAGUUUCUGGGAACGUGUGCCUGUACUGUAGACUAUCAUGUGUGUUUCUCCUCCUCCUCCUUCCUCGGUCUCUGGCACCUCAUAGAAGAUUCUUUGUUGAUCAUUGUUGUAUGUUAAUAAUGUAUAAAAAUGACUAUCUUGUAAGAGUGCUGUCCUGAUUCUAGUAUAGUGACACCCUUCCACACAUACCCUUUCUCUUCUCUUCCUCUUCCAGUACAUAUUGUAGUUGUAUUGUAAUUAAGGUUAAAUACAUAGAUGUAGUUAUUCAGAUUUAGGACCAGUAAGGAUAGAACUUUCUCUUAUUUAAGGCAAAAAGAAAUGCUAAUAAUUUUGGGGCAGGUUUUUGUUUUUAUUUAAUUUCUUUUUUCGCUCUUUUACUUUCUGCUGAUCUCAUGUGGUUUCAAACUAACCAAAGGCUUCACAA